GCGGUUUUUGAGGAUGUUCCUUUGUCCGUUUAGCAACUGCCCUCCUUUGCUGCUUCGUAGGGGCGGCGGGGGAGAGGAAACAAAGACUAGUC
rnacentral:telomerase_RNA from 1 species